AUGGGUCAUUUUAAUAAUAUGAAAAAUGUUAUACAUAACACAAUCAUCAGCCUUAAGAGAAAUAAAAUGGAUUUUUAUGGUCAAAAAUUAGCAUUUUUAAUUAAAAAUAUAAUUUUUACAAUUAGCACUAUCAUUUCAAUAGCAAUCGGUUAUUAUAAACAAGACAUAGCUUUAAGUGCGUAUAUACUCUUAGGAGCGACCGUCUUAUGUUCUAUACUUGUUAUACCAACAUGGCCUGUGUAUUACAAAAACAAUAUCCAAUGGACUAAAAGUGAAGACUCAUUAAAAAAGAAAAAAGAAAAAUAAAACAUUAUACGUUAUACGUUAUAUGUUAUACGUUAUACGUUAUCGUAUGGGAAUAUACACAUUCCUUUGCACAUGUAUUUUACUAUCUUAUCUUUUUUAAAAAAGCGUACAUAUAAAUAUAAAAACUUUCACCCUCACAUUUUUUUAAUUUUUUUUUACUUCAUUUUUUUUACUUCAUUUUUUUUACUUCAUUUUUNNNNNNNNNNCUUCAUUUUUUUUACUUCAUUUUUACUGCAUUUUUUUUUUUUUUUUUUUUUUUAAUUAAUAUAAAUGUAAUACAUAUAAAAAAUGUUAAACUGUUGAAUCUAAAUACUGUUAUUAAUUGCUUAAUUGAACCACGUGAGUUUAAAAGAAUGAAAAAAUAUAUGUACUAUAAAUCGUUUAUAUAAUAGUUUUUUUUUAUAUUGUUUUAAUUCUUGAAUAUAAUUUAUAAAAUUUAAAAUAAUUUCAUUUAUACCUUUAUCAGAAAAAAUAGGUAAAAUACUAUGUAAUAUAUCAUCUAGUUCAGUAAUUUUUAUCUCUAUACUUUUGCCAAUUUCAUUGAACUCUUUUUUUUUAAUUUUAUCAAUCCGUUAUAUAUUUUUUGGAUCUCACAUAAAUUGAAUGGUAUUUCUAUGUUAAUUUUAUAUCUGCAAAAAAAAAAAAAAAAAAAAAAAUAAAUAAAUAAAUAAAUAAAAUUACUGAAAAAAA
rnacentral:lncRNA from 1 species